rnacentral:rRNA from 1 species
GAGAGAUUCACCGACGAUCUCCUCGUGGAGAUCCUCUCCCGCAUCCCCGCCAUGUCUCUCCGCCGCCUCAAGUGCGUCUCCAAGCACUGGCUCUACCUCAUCGACCACCCCGACCACCGCAAAAAGCUCCCCCAACCCCUCGCCGGCUUCCUCUACACCAGCAGCACCACCGGGGAGUUGCUUACGGUUUCAUCUUUCCGCUUCACCAGUCUCUCGAGGGGAUGCCGCGCUCCUCUCAUAGACACGUCUUUCGCCUUCCUGCCCAACCACCAGCGCGUCGAUCUUUUAGACUGCUGUAGCGGCCUCCUCCUCUGCCGCUGGCACGCCGCCGGGGCCGACGAAUGCCGUUACAUCGUGUGCAAUCCCGCGAGAAAGGAGUGGGUCAUGCUACCUGAACCCAGCAAGGCCGAGGAGGUGAGCACUGUACGCCUGGGUUUCGAUCCGGCCGUGUCUUCCCACUUCUAUGUGUUUAUUAUGUUGCUGGAGGAGAUCGACGGUGACUUCUACCACACCAGAGUGAAUGUGUAUUCGUCGGAAACCGGACGGUGGGCUCACCUCUCAGGAGUGGCAGUGUAUUCGCCGGAAACCAGAGGUUGGGUUUAUAAGGAGAACAGAUGGAACAAACGUGUCUUGCUCAUUGAACUUCAGUUAUCAUCUGUCUUUCUUAACGGCUAUAUGCAUUUUCAAGUCGAUAGCGGUGACUUUUCAUGCUGUCUAGCUGUGGUGGACACGGUCAGGGAAACAUGGAUGAACUUCAAUGUCCCUAGUGGUCUGGUUGACGGGUUUAUUCAACAGUCACAAGGCCGCUUGCAUUAUGCCAAUUUUCAGAGAGGUGCAGAUGGUGGUGUUCUUCCACUCAUAGUUUAUGUUCUCGAGAGCUACCAAAGCAAAGAAUGGACACUGAAGCACAACGUUGAAACUUCAUGCAUAUUGGGAGGGACAGAUUACUGCAUUGAUGGGUUUGAUUGGAUUGUAAUUCAGCCGGAAUGCAACUUGAUAUUCUUCGCCCUUGGGCAGGAUCUCAAAUUCAUGUGCUAUAAUAUGGAUCGCCGGCAAGUCAAAGUGAUCUGCAAUCUUGAAGAUGUGAAGCCUCCACAUCUGCCAUAUGUGCCGUUGUAUGCGGAG